rnacentral:rRNA from 1 species
UUUCAAGUCUGACCUGCCCAAUGAUAGAUUAAAUGGCCGCGGUAUAUUGACCGUGCAAAGGUAGCAUAGUCAUUAGUUUUUUAAUUGGAAGCUUGUAUGAAAGGUUUGAUGAGAAAGUAACUGUCUCUAAGGAAAUUUAUUAGAAUUUUAUUUUUAAGUGAAAAGGCUUAGAUUUUUAUGGAAGACGAGAAGACCCUGUAGAGUUUGACAGAUUAAAUAGUUGCUUAAAGAAAAGGUAUAAUAGGUGAAAUUUAGCUUGUAUUUGUUUGUUUUAUUGGGGUGAUAGGAAAAUUGAUUAAACUUUUCUUUAUAAAAAUAUUGAUGUGUAAAUAUAUGAUCCUUUAAAAGAUUAUAAGAGUAAAUUACCUCAGGGAUAACAGCGUAAUUUUUUUUAGAGUUCUUAUCGAAAAAAUAGAUUGCGACCUCGAUGUUGGAUUAAAAUUAAUUGUUGGUGUAGAAGCUGAUAAGAUAGGUCUGUUCGACCUUUAAAAUUUUACAUGAUCUGAGUUUAAACCGGUGUGAGCCAGGUCGGUUU